rnacentral:rRNA from 1 species
UACGUAGGUGGCAAGCGUUGUCCGGAUUUACUGGGCGUAAAGAGCGCGCAGGCGGUCGGAUAAGUCGAAUGUGAAAGCCCCUGGCUCAACCAGGGAGGGUCAUUCGAUACUGUUCGACUCGAAGGCAGGAGAGGGAAGUGGAAUUCCGGGUGUAGUGGUGAAAUGCGUAGAUAUCCGGAGGAACACCAGUGGCGAAGGCGACUUUCUGGCCUGUUCUUGACGCUGAGGCGCGAAAGCUAGGGGAGCAAACAGGG